CGCUUUCUUGGGGCGUGUAUUCGUGGUCUGGCAGCCGUGGUUAGUACCGGCUCAGUGGCAUCUGCUUAUGUGCUUCGACCUGUCUGAGAAUUGUGUUUCUGUCCCAUCUCUUAAACCGACCCUCCGUAUAAACCAUUGCGGGUAGAGAGCUAGGAAUGUGAUGGUUGGCAUUAAAUGUUGGGCUUUUUUGUGUGUGGGUGGGGGGGGACACUGUGCCCGUUCUUUUGAACUCGAGCUGAUUAUUUUUGCAUUGUGAAAAUGUUGCCUGAAGUAGAAUGCUCUCGUGUCCUUCUGUCUCUCUCUCUCUCUCUCUCUGCCUGCUUCCACCAAAUCUCUCUGAAGGGGUCAGCCUUCAUUUUAGAAGGGGAACGGGAUUGCGUGCGAAACCCUGGAGCCACCCACUCCGUCCGUUUGGGACCCGAAUGCCUUGGUUUUCUGUCGGUUUCCUUCUUUCUAUGAAAAUUCGACACAAAUUGCGUCUUCUCAUGGUGUGUUGAUGUAUGGCGGUUCCAUGCUAGGAAGCUGAAGAGCUAAAGCGGAGAAAGUUCAUGUUUGUGUCCACUGCAUUGUGGAAAAGAUGGAGAGGUGGGCGGUCUGAUCUCCUUUUUGUGUGGAGCGUGUCGUCUGUGAUGGUUGCUGGUAGUUUCCUUUUUGUUACCUUUCGAUCAAGCAAGCGGAAUUGUGGCAGGAAACCGCUUCUUAGCCCAUUCAACAAAAUUGACAAGAAGCCAGUUCUUGUGCUGAAUGUUGCCUGUUUCCAGACCUUCACUCACUCCUCUGUUUUAGGACGGACGGGUACCUGCCGCGUGCCCCAGCUGAGUAGCUCUGCAGUCGUCCUCUGAGUUGCAGCGUUGUGGUCGUUGCGCAAAAUAAACGUUGUUGUUUCCCACUCGAACUGGUUCCUUGGGAGAGGACGCUUGCUGCGGGAGGCCUGUCGGCCUGGAGGGCAGACCACUUCCCGGAAAGACGGCCCCAAUCUGGAGGGUUGCCUUGGCGUUCCUAGUCGGUGGAAGUGUCUUGAGUUUAAAGAUGGCCCGCUAGGAGGUGCCACCCCAACCUGCUUCACGCCGAGUUGGGCCAGGGUGGGGUUUGGCCUUCUGGGGCCCCCCCCUGUGAAUUGAGCAAAGCGGCACCUUUGCAGGUGGGGAGCAAGUGGGCCUGUUCAGCACAGCGUCCCUUCUGGUGGCUCUUGCUGAGGGCUGGGCGAGAGAGAGGAGAGCUUGGGAGCCCCUCUGGGGCAGGGAACCCCCUUCUUAUUCUUUUCUCCCUGGAGCCUGCUGUGGGGACCUUUCCCCCCUGCAGAGGCCAGUGGAGGGGUCCCACUGCUGAAUAAUUGAUGAGCUUCUCCCCCUCGGGCAAAGGUCGGGCAGAGGUCAGCCAGGCGGCACCUGCUCAGAAUGGGGGCUCCCUUGUGCUGAGGAGGGGGCUUUGGGCCAGGACCCCCCUCCGACCCCAGCAGAGCCUCCCUCCCAGGGGCCGGUCCUGGGGUCUCCCUGGCGUCUCUCUAGACUGGGAGCCCUUUGGGGCAGGGAACCACCUUCCUUUCUGCUCUGGCACCCGCUGUGGGGACCUUCCCCCCCUGCAGAGGCCAGCGGAGGGGUCCCACUGCUGAAUAAUUGAUGAGCGUCUCCCCCCGGGGCAAAGGUCAGCCAGGCGGCGCCUGCUUAAAAUGGCGGCUCCCUUGUGCUGAGGAGGGGGCUUUGGGCCAGGGCCCCCCUCCGACCCCAGCACAGCCUCCCUCCCAGGGGCUGGUCCUGGGGUCUCCCUGGCGUUAACUUUUUAGACUGUAAGCCCCUUGGGGGCAGGGGCCCUCUUCAGGCCCUCUGGAGGCACACAGGUGAGGGGGGGCACCUUUUCAAGUGGGGGCUCCCUUCUGGAUUUAGCAGGGGUGCGUUGGCAACUGGGUUUCCAGGUUUGCAGGAGACCCCAGAAGCAGACGGACACAGGUGGAGAAUCGGGGGCCUUGCGAAACUACCGAUGGGCCGUGUUCAAAUCAGGUUCAGAUUUUUCAUGACAGGUCAUUGUUCUCAUGUUUCCACGUUGUUCUUAAUCUGUGGUGUUUUAUUUCAUUGUAAGCCGCCCAGAGACGCGAGGCUUGGGCGGUAUACACACAUGCUAAAUAAGAAAAUUAACUGAGUGAAGGUGAUUCUGCAGAGGUCUGUGCAACAAUCAGUGCUGGUGGCCCCACCCCUAACAGUCAGGGGGUGGGGCCUAGGGACUUGGGGGUGGGGCCUGUUGAAGUAGAGGUCGCUGGUCCCUGGAUCUUCAUCGGAAGAGUCAAGGUUCUAGGCCGCCUCCUGAUGAGUUUGAAAUGCAGGCUGAAUAGCGCCCGCUUUCUCCUGAUUUCCAGGGUUUUUUGUUUUUUUCCAAGAGAAGCACUAAGCCCGCCUUGCCCCCCCCCCCCACCCCGUCCCCCCAAUUCCUGCAGAAGAAGAGGCAGACAACUGAGCCGGCCAAGGAAACCUUUUCCCCUCUUUGCCUGGAAGUAUUCCUUCCCUGCAGGGGGAAUUGGGGCAGAUUGAAGUUGAGGAAUAGGCAGGAGAAAAGGCCCGAAACUGACUCGUUCUGGUGCUUUGCAGCAAGAUUAAACGCCCUGGCCUUGGAGACCCCGAGAGGGAGGCUAAAGCCCUGACCGGGUCAGACCCGGAGACCCGGCCAGGCAGCGUUGGCGCCGCGUGGGCGGUCUGGUGCCCGCCCCGCCGGUGCCCGCGGCCCCUCUGCUGCCGUGCAAGGGAAGAUCCCCCUGCCAGCUCUGACGGCAGCAUAAGCCUUUGCCGCCUCGCUAAUCCCAGCAAUCUGUCCUUGGAGGCCGCAGGGAGGAAGCCGGGCCCAGCCCUGGUCCGUGCGGGCACCAUGAGCUGGCCGGGCGAGGAGUGGAAGGUGGGGCUGCCGGCCCAGGCCCUGAGGGCCAUCGCCGAGGUGGAGCAGCGCCUGGAGCGGGCGCAGAAGGAGCGCCAGCAGAAGCAGGUGCAGCUGGACACCCUGGAGGCUGUGAUGCACAAGCAGAAGCAGAAGCACGCGGAGGAGAAGGCUUCGGGGGCGCUCCUCUCGCAGCAGAACCGCGGCCUGGCCGAGGCCUGUGAGCAGACGGAACGGGCCCGCCAGCGCCUGGCCCAGGAGCUGCAAGCCAAGGAGGCCCAGCUGAGCUGCCUGGAGGCCCAGCUGGCCCAGGCCGCCCGCCACCAAGCCGAACUGGAGGAGGAGCUGCGCAGGUGCCAGGUGGAGCUGAACAGGCUGCAGUCCAGAUCCCAUCUGGUUCUCCUGCCCUCCCGCUGGGGGUCCGCCAUGCAGUGGGCUGAAGGUGGGACGGAAGCCAAAGCAGACCCCAGCAGAGCCCUGGCGGGCAGAACAAACUCCAGUUGCCCUCCGCUUCGGGGUGCCUGGGGGAAGGACAGCCCCAUGACCUGCUGGCAGCAGCAAGCGGCCGCCUGCCCCAGUGCCCCGCCUGGCAGCCCUGUGCCCACGGAGAAUGGCGAAGGGGCCCCCCCAGAGGGGCCAGAAGUGACCUCCGCAGGAGACGGGCUGCAGAACGACAACGAAGAACUGAGACAGGCGCUUCUCAAAGCAGAGGCCCAGGUGCAAGAGAAGGAGAAAGAACUCUGGAACCUGCAGGGGCAGCUGGAACUGACUCGGGCCGAACUGGCCCAGUGGAAAAAGCACCGGGAGGACCCCUCGGAGGUUGGCCCCCUGGAAUGCAGGGGAAGGCGGCGCUCCGAGGACGUGAGCGGCCAGCGCCGAAGCCGGGAGCAGCACACGGGCCCGGUGGGGUUGGAAACGAUGCCCCCAGGAAGCGGCCGUCGGAGUGCCAGCUCAUCCCGUCUGGAGCAGCCGGCGGAGAAACGGGGCGCUACCGGCAAGCUAAAAGGCAUUCCAGUCCCGAGUCCCCGACCCCCAAGCUCCGAGCAUCGCUGGGAGGAGCUGCAGGCUCUCAAAGCCGAGGUGCUGACCCUCCGGCGGCGCCUGGAUGCGUCCGAGAGUCAGCGCAAGUCCCUCCUGGAGACCUGCUGGCGGCAGAAGAGGUCUCAGGCCUUGGCCUCGGAGAAGCCGGCGCCGGCAUUGCAGCCCCAGGGGAAAGAGGCUGCGGAUAUCCGGGGCGGCGGUGACCCACUUGGGGAUGAAGCGCUGGCCCGGGGCGGUGGGGGGUCAGGAGAGGCUGGAGGGGAGGAGGCCGAGACGGGGCCUGAGGAAGCGAGGCAGCAAGCAGGGGAGGCCAGAGCAGGCGCAGAAAGGCGGGAAGAGGGCAGCCAGCCCGAGGCUUUGGCCAAGCAGGGAGGCCUGGAGGCCCUGAGAGAGGAGCUCCGAGCCUUGGCUGCUGGGAAGGCCGAAGCGGAGGCCGAAGCGGGCUUGGCCCAGCGGAAGCUCCAGAGCCUGCAGGCCACGCUGGGGAUGCAGACGGAUCGGUUGGCACAAGCCAUGGAGGCCCAGAGCUGCCACAUGGAAGAGCUCUUGGCGGACGCGGAGGAGAAGGCGCGGCUGACGCAGAGCCUGAGCGAGGCGCUGGAGGAGGCCCAGAAGGCGCUGGAGGAGGCCCACGCGGAGAGCCGGAGGCUGCGGGUUCUGCUGGGGCAGCGGGCAGGAGAGCCCCACCCAGCCACACCCACCGGUGUGCCAGGGCUGUGCGAAGGUGGCCAGACGGCGGAGGCCCCCGCGGACAAGCCACCGGCCCGGACAGAGGGAGGCGAGGGAUACUCUGGCGAAACGAGCCGAGCAGGAUGUCCUGGAGGAGCGGAGGAGAGGAGGCAGUUUGCCGGACAGGAACAACUGGAGGCCUCUCUUGCCCGGCUCCUCCAGGAAAACCAGGCCCUGCGCAAGGAACUGGAGUAUUGGGAAACGCAGCACUCGGAAGGAGGAGGCGACAACCUCCUUGCUGGCCUGCCUGAAUCGGCUGGUUCAGGAGGCUGCGGCGACCCAGUGGAAAAUGCAGACGUUCUUGAGGCUGCCCAGAAGAAGGAGCUCCCAUCACAGGGGAGUCGCCGUGAUGCUCAGACCCAGACGGAGGGGUUGGAGGGCGCCCACCGCAGGCGCAAGAUGAGGGCCUCUUCGGUUGCUUUUGAUGACACCCAGUACGAGCCCUACGGCCUUCCCGAGGUAGUCAUGAAAGGAUUUGCAGACAUCCCUUCUGGUCCGUCCUGUCCGCAUGUUCUCCGCAGGGGCAUUUUGGGGAGUGCCUCUGUUGCCCGGCUGGCCCCCAGAGCCGAACCGGAAGAGGACUCUCCCGAGACGGAGGAAGGGACUGGUGUCUGAGCAGGGCGCCCACCAGGCUGGCUUCCACCACCGCCACCUCCGAAUUGCGCCCGUGGUGGUGGUCCCUGGGCUUCACACCUAGCCAGGACUUCUGCAGUGACUGCUACAGGUUUGCGGCUACAACCACAGCCACUCCCUGCUGGCCCAGUCGCUUCACUUCCCAGCCCUGAUUUGGAUGGCAGAGGGGAUCGUUAGAGGAGGGAGGGGUUGCAACAGAAACGGGGGACCCAUCAACGGACCUGCUCCUGUUUGGGAGAACCUCUCUAGCAGGAUGCUUUUUGGGCAGGAUACAGAAGACCGUUGGGCCAGGUGACCGUGGAUGGAGCAUCACAUGCGGAGGACGCACAUAUGUACAUGUGCUUUCUAGGACUGGCGGAAAACACACGUGUGCAGGGUGUCUGAUGCAGAACGGUUGGGAUUUGGUCAGGUUUGCUGCUGCCACCUAGACAGCUGAUGGAAACCAGCCCCCCUCUCCUUUAGGCAUCUGCAUUUAGAGAGCGGGCAAAAGAGAUCGGUCUGGGUAGUCACGGGGGCUCUUGUGGAGCUGGUUUUCUGAGGGGUUUGGGCAGAGCAUGUGCACCAUGGUCUUGUUUUGUUUUAUUAUGGACUUAGACCCACAAACACACACGUAACAAAAUAAAGAAUACAAUUGACAAUA